GGUUGAGAACGUCUCGCUUAUUCAUUUUCCGGAUGAAUCUUGUGAAACUGAAAAGCUGAAACUGAAAAGCUCAGGUUUCACUCUAAUCCUUGAAUCCAAUCUUUCACAUUAUCAUCCAACCAUGCUUCAAAAACAGACCAGAGCUUUCACAAAAUCUUAUUUUUAAACAUUCACAAGAAGGAAGGGAUGAAGCCAGUCGGAAAAAGGGGUGUGUAAAAUGUUUAAAUCUCUCAAUUUUGAUAUUAAGCAAGCUAAUGGGCUUGUGUUAAAAAGUUCUGGUGGGGAAAUUUGAGACAGUCUUAAUUCCUUGAUAAAGUCUAUAACGUGUGGAGAGUGAAGUGACCAUUGUAAAAAUGGAGUUGGAAUUGGAGGAUCAAGAGGACAGGAGCAAGUGUUCCAAGUGCCUUGAAAAGUUUCGAAAAGUUCUCACUUUCCUGUUAUCUCACAUUGGUCUCAUAUCCCUCGUCGUCGGGUACUGUAUCAUGGGUGCUUUCACUUUUGAAGCUUUAGAAUCUUCACACGAACUGCAGGUUAAACGUAACAUGACCCAAGUUAGACAAGCAGUGACGCAAUAUUUGUGGACAAUGACCAAAAAUACGCAUUUAAUUCGAGAAGAAAUUUGGCUACAGAAUACAACUUACAGAUUGCAGGAAUUUGAGACAGAUUUGUUGCGAGCAAUGAAGAAAGGAGGUUGGGAUGGAUCUGAAAAUUUAUCAACGCAACAAUGGACUUUUUCUGGAGCUUUAUUUUAUUCUAUCGUCGUUGUUACAACAAUCGGUUACGGUCAUCUGACGCCCAAGACGGUGUUUGGGAAGGUCGUGACAAUAUUUUAUGCUAUCAUUGGGAUCCCGUUGAUGCUCCUAUGCCUGUCGCACAUCGGGGACUUCAUGGCCAGUUCUUUCAGAGUGAUUUACUGGAAGGUUUGCUGCUACAUGUGCACUCGCCGGAAAUCACCCCGGACAAUGAGACGCUAUCAAGGCAGUACAUUUCGACGUGGAAGAAGUCUGCGAUCCAAUAAUCCUUCCAGACCAGGGGGUGGGAGCACACGCGGGAUGAAAAGGUCAGCCUCAGCAGCACUAAGGUCAGCGAGGACUUCUCAGCGUUCAGAAGACUCUGCAUACUCGGCAGACUCGGCCAUCUUUACGCUCCCUGACCCUGGCAUUCGAAGAGUCCAUUCGGACGAUCAUUUGCGAGCUGCAUUGCCAAUGCGAAGAAUGAAAGAUUCUCCCCCACUGCACCUCCGCCCAGACAGCUACAAAAAUAUCCAGAAAAGGUCUACAAGAUCGGCAGAACCGGCUUUUGGGUCCAAGCGCAAUCUGUCCAUUUUAUGCAACAGAUACGCCGAAGAUGUUAUUACGGAUGAAGCUCAGAUUGUGAGAGCACCACAACAUGUUCGAGUAAGGCAAUUGAGGAGUCCUGAACGAUUUGCUUAUAGUGACUAUUGGGAAGAUGAAGCCGACGAGUACAUUUAUGGGAGCGACGACGAAGACAAUGCAGAUGUUCGCAAAAAACCUGUGCCGAUAGUUAGUACUGCAAAAUUUGACAAUUAUAUAAUUCAAGUUAAUUUACAGUUUGGUCACACAUAUGAGGAAAAAGAUUGGCAUAAAUUUCUCGACUGUAAAAAUAUAUAUUCUUCAAACUACUCUUUAAUUUAACCGUCAUUUGUUUUAAACAAAAUGCAUCCAAAAAUAAAACGACGCUACAUUCUCCACGCUGCUUUCUUAUCAAUUGAUAAGAAAAGCUUGGCGUCCCUUAUCAUCGAGGGAGAGAAAUGGAAAAGUGCUCACAUAACUCGUCUGCCCUGUCAGCGAGUUUAACAUCUUUUCUUCCUCUCUCCUCCACACUAUUGCGCACCUCCUAACGUUUUCACCAUCUUCCACCCUCUACCUACUUGUUUCAAGUCCUUUUAAGGGCGCAAGUAUGCUUCCCACAAAACCAAUUUCUCGGAAAACAACUCGGACUCGCCCUCUUGACACCGACCACCUACUCACGGACUCCACAGAUUCUAGUGAUGACGAUUCAGAAUUGUCCCCUGGCACUGCCCACCACAACACGGAUACAGGGCGUAGUAGAAGUUUGAGGGAACGAAAGAAGGUGUGUUAUACGGAGGAGGAUGACGACACGGAUUUUGCCCCUGACUCCGACCACCACAACUGGGAACCACCCUCCUCACCUGAUGACGACACGGAUUUCGACCCCGACACCGACCCCCACAACUUGGAACAACUUUCCCCUCUUGAUAACGACUCGGAAUUGUCCCCUGACACCGACCACCACAACUCGGAACCACCCUCCCCACCUGAUGACGACGCGGAUUCUGCCUCUGACACCGACCCCACAACUCGUUACUACCCUCCCCUCCUGUUUUUUCUGAAGAGGAGGAGGAAUAUAUUUUUGAUCGGCACCCACUCUCCUCAUCAUCCCCCCCACAACCACGUCUAAUGUUGACGUAUGGGGAUUCCGUGACGGAAUAUGUCCCCACCACCCCAUUACCACAUAUGGUUGGAGCGCCCGUCAAUUUUGACCUCUAUAUGCGACAUGGAGAUGGACCACUUAUUAGAGUGCAACCAAUGGUCAAUACUCCUCAGCCACCACCGCCAAUCGUUCUUCCACCACCCCCACCACCACAAGCUGACUUAUGGGAGCAACCAAAUGGUCAAAUAAAGUGCGUAUUUGAUGCUAUUAAAGCUCAUUUAAGAUGGGGGGAUAAUCCGGGCGAGACAGAUGCGAAUAUGGGUGGGAGUGAUGCGUUUUUGGAGCUUAUGAAGUCACUUCCGGUGCAAGGCACAUGUACUUUGGGGGUAAGCCCUCAUCGAACCACACCUAUUCGUGACAAGGACAACAGAAGAAUUGCGAUCAAAUGGCAAGGUGACGUCGUCAAAGCCUUGAUGUAUAAGGUGCAGAAAAGGAUGGUCUUGAGUUGGAAUGGGUCCAAGAAAAAAUGCACACGAGAAAAUUGUUGGGUUAAUUCACUGGACAGAAUGAUAGGAUACUGUCGUAAGGACUCGUCUAAACUCCGUGAAUUUUUGCUACUAAGAGACGCCACAAAUAUCCAACCAAACAUUUUCAUCCACCAUCCAGAUCUUCGGAUGAACGCAUUUGAUGAAGAAAAUAUAAAUGUAUACCUCCGAAGUGAACAUAUAGAUGGCAAACAUUUUCCAACAAUUGUCAAGUACAUCGCUUCACAUCCAAACUGCCGUUUUGUGAUUGAUAUGAGCUGGCGUUUUGACACAACUCUGUCCCCGAAGAAAUUCAACACUUUUUGCAUUGCAAUUUGCAUAAUGACUUUCCUCCACAACAACGCAUUUUCUAAUUCGACCCAUCCCAAAAUUCAACUAAGGAGGGGCUUGACCAUCUUCAAAAAUGCCCACUGGAAGGAAGUUCGGAAAAUUCUUGACCGAAACAAGUUCAAAUUUAUUGUGACCCCAGCUACCAACCAACUGACUCCAAAUAAAAUGUUCUCAAUCCGUGUCAUCAAGAAACAGGACCACACCUACCAAGGAGAUAAUGGGAACGGUGCAGUAAAAGACGGCCUUAUGACUUCGAAGACAACUGUCCAUACAUCAGGAGCAAGCGUAGGUAACGCCCUUCCCCACAAGCCACUUGCCCAACAUCUUGAGACCAUCGUCAUGCUCUAUCAGCAUAUUUUGGAUGACCCCGUCGAGACUGAGAUCCGCACUCGCCAUGCUGAAUUUAUGGGAAUAUUGGCCACAUUAAUGGGGACAAUUCUUCAGCAAGACUUCAAAGGACACCCAAUGAGACCCAUGACUGAACAACUUACCAACUAUAACAUAGUAUUUGACUACAAUGUGUUCACUAGACUUUUUCAAUUUAAAACAGGAUGCACUAUUGUUGUACAGAGAGAGGGGGAUGGAAUCCCAAUAAUCAAUGGAAAACCUCAAUUUCUGUGGUAGAAUGUUAAUUUGUUCACUUUGUUUUGUUUAUAUUCUACAAUUUUUUUUUACUAAACAUCAAUGAAUUACUUUAACCCCAUUCUUUGCAAAUAAAUAUGUCUGAUAUUUAGACGU